CAAAACACCAGUUCACGUACGAUCACCGAAGUUAAACAACGCCGAGCCUGGUCAGUAACUAGAUGGGUGACCGCUUGUGAAUACCAUGUCCUGUAAG